rnacentral:rRNA from 1 species
GUGGGGAAUAUUGGGCAAUGGACGAAAGUCUGACGGAGCAACGCCGCGUGAGUGAUGAAGGUUUUCGGACUGUAAAGCUCUGUUGUUUAGGACGAAAGUGCCUGUUGCGAAUAGUUACAGGUAUUGACGGUACUGAACGAGGAAGCCACGGCUAACUACGUGCCAGCAGCCGCGGUAAUACGUAGGUGGCAAGCGUUGUCCGGAAUUAUUGGGCGUAAAGAGCAUGUAGGCGGGAAUCUAAGUCUGUUGUGAAAAUGCGGGGCUCAACCCCGUAUUGCGAUGGAAACUGGGUUUCUUGAGUGCAGGAGAGGAAAGGGGAAUUCCCAGUGUAGCGGUGAAAUGCGUAGAUAUUGGGAGGAACACCAGUGGCGAAGGCGCCUUUCUGGACUGUGUCUGACGCUGAGAUGCGAAAGCCAGGGUAGCGAACGGGAUUAGAAACCCUGGUAGUCC